rnacentral:rRNA from 1 species
AGCGAACGCUGGCGGCAGGCCUAACACAUGCAAGUCGAACGGAUCCUUCGGGAUUAGUGGCGGACGGGUGAGUAACACGUGGGAACGUGCCCUUUGGUUCGGAACAACUCGGGGAAACUUGAGCUAAUACCGGAUGUGCCCUUCGGGGGAAAGAUUUAUCGCCAUUGGAGCGGCCCACGUCUGAUUAGCUAGUUGGUGAGGUAAAGGCUCACCAAGGCGACGAUCAGUAGCUGGUCUGAGAGGAUGAUCAGCCACAUUGGGACUGAGACACGGCCCAAACUCCUACGGGAGGCAGCAGUGGGGAAUCUUGCGCAAUGGGCGAAAGCCUGACGCAGCCAUGCCGCGUGAAUGAUGAAGGUCUUAGGAUUGUAAAAUUCUUUCACCGGGGACGAUAAUGACGGUACCCGGAGAAGAAGCCCCGGCUAACUUCGUGCCAGCAGCCGCCGUAA